rnacentral:rRNA from 1 species
AGCACUGAAUUGGCUAGGGGGCUUACCAGCUUACCAAACCAUAUCAAACUCAGAAUACCGACGAGUGAUGCUAGGGAGUGAGACUAUGGGUGCUAAGGUCCAUAGUCGAAAGGGAAAGAGCCCAGACCAUCAGCUAAGGUCCCUAAAUAAUCGCUAAGUGGGAAAGGUUGUGGGAUUACUUUGACAUCCAGGAGGUUGGCUUAGAAGCAGCCACCCUUUAAAGAAAGCGUAAUAGCUCACUGGACUAGUGAUCCUGCGCCUAAAAUUCAACGGGGCUUAAGUGAUUUACCGAAGCUAUGGAUUGAGAUUUAUCUCAAUGGUAGGAGAGCAUUGUGUAUGCCGAUGAAGAUAUACCGUAAGGAGUAUUGGAGGUAUCACAAGAGCUGAUGCUGAAAUGAGUAACGAUAAGGAACGUGAGAAUCGUUCCCGCCGAAAAUCUAAGGGUUCCUGGGCCAGGUGACUCCGCCCAGGGUUAGUCGGAUCCUAACGCGAGGCCGAAAGGCGUAGUGGAUGGAUAACAGGUUAAUAUUCCUGUACUUAGUAAUUAUCGUUCGACUUGGUGGAGUGACGGAGAAAGGUAGUGAAGCCACACACUGGUUAGUGGUUUAAGCGAGUAGGUGGGAGACUCAGGCAAAUCCGGGUUUCUAUUAACACCGAGACGUGAUGACGAGGGCCUAGCCCGAAGUUCAUGAUCCUAUGCUUCCUAGAAAAGCUUCGUAAGGAGAUGAUUAUUAAUCCGUACCGUAAACCGACACAGGUAGAUGGGAUGAGAAUUCUAAGGCGCUUGGGUAAACUCCAGUUAAGGAACUCUGCAAAUUGGUGCUGUAACUUUGGGAUAAGGCACGCCUUUUUUGGUGAUAGAACUUGCUUCUUGAGCUGAAGAGGGCCGCAGUGAAAAGGGGGUAGCGACUGUUUAUCAAAAACAUAGGUCUAUGCAAACUCGUAAGAGGACGUAUAUGGACUGACGCCUGCCCGGUGCUCGAAGGUUAAGAGGAGAGGUUAGAGCAAUCGAAGCUUUGAAUCGAAGCCCGAGUAAACGGCGGCCGUAACUAUAACGGUCCUAAGGUAGCGAAAUUCCUAGUCGGGUAAGUUCCGACCUGCACGAAUGGCGUAACGACUUCCCCACUGUCUCAACUGGAGACCCAGUGAAAUUGGAGUGCGCGUGAAGAUACGCGCUACCCGCGGAAGGACGAAAAGACCCCGUGAACCUUCACUGUAGCUUGGCAUUGGUUUUCGAAACACAUUGCGUAGGAUAGGUGGGAGCUUUUGAUCCGUGCAUUCCGGUGUACGAGGAGGCAACCUUGAAAUACCACCCUUUGUGUUUUGGAAUCCUAACCUACGAUCGUAAUCCGGUCGGGGGACAAUGUCUGGUAGGCAGUUUGACUGGGGCGGUCGCCUCCUAAAGAGUAACGGAGGCGCACAAAGGUUCCCUCAAGCCGAAUGGAAACCGGCUGUAGAGUGUAAACGCAUAAGGGAGCUUGACUGCGAGGCAAACAAGCCGAGCAGGUAGGAAACUAGGUGUUAGUGAUCCGGUGGUUCCGAGUGGAAGGGCCAUCGCUCAACGGAUA